CUGGAGCUGUGCAUCAGGAUGUCGGCCAUGCACUGGGAGGCCAGGCGGCGUCAGAGCGCUCUGGACCGCAGGCUGGCCUGAGACCAACAGCAGCUGUUGCAGAAGAGUCCUGAGAGCAGCCACAACGCAACCGGAUCCAACACAACACGAGAACAAACCGCUGGAGACCAGUGUCCCCACUGUAAGGGCAUCCUGAAGACACCUGUCCAUCACAGCGCCAAGAUGUCCAACAGAUACUCAUCUUUACAGUACAGCCAGCAGUGGUGAAGAAGACGAGGAACACCCCCCCCACCCCCAGAUCCUGGACUCCUACAUUGGACUUGAAAGCUACUAUUUCCCUGUAUUCUUCAAACUCAUUCCCGGUCUUUGGUGUCCAGUGGGUGUCUCAAAUCUUCAUCCAUUGCUAAUAUGAAAGUAUUGAUUAGUGCAGCUUUAAAAGGAUUUUUUUUAGCAUUUUAUUGGCCAGUUAAAGCUUCAUUUGUUUGUAUUUUUAACACGGCUGCACCAUACGGAUAAAACUAUGGAGCCGU